GCAUAUCAAUAAGCGGAGGAAAAGAAACUAACAAGGAUUCCCCUAGUAACGGCGAGUGAAGCGGGAAGAGCUCAAAUUUAAAAUCUGGCGGUGUAUUCCGUCCGAGUUGUAGUCUAGAGAAGCAUCAUCCGCGCCGGACCAUGUACAAGUCUCUUGGAACAGAGCGUCAUAGAGGGUGAGAAUCCCGUCCUUGACAUGGACUCCCGGUGCUUUGCGUUGUGCUCUCGACGAGUCGAGUUGUUUGGGAAUGCAGCUCAAAAUGGGUGGUAAAUUCCAUCUAAAGCUAAAUAUUGGCGAGAGACCGAUAGCGAACAAGUACCGUGAGGGAAAGAUGAAAAGCACUUUGGAGAGAGAGUUAAACAGUACGUGAAAUUGUUGAAAUGGAAACGAUUGAAGUCAGUCGCGUUCUCUGGGAUUCAGCCUUGCUUCUGCUUGGUGCAUUUCCUAGUCUACGGGCCAGCAUGGAUUUCGACCGUUGGAAAAAGGCUGGGGGAAUGUGGCACCUUCGGGUGUGUUAUAGCCCCUUGUCACAUGCAUCGGUUGGGAUCGAGGACCUCAGUGCACGCUUCGGUUGUGCUUUGAUGCUGGCGUAAUGGCUUUAAACGACCCGUCUUGAAACACGGACCAAGGAGUCUAACAUGUCUGCGAGUGUUUGGGUGAAAAACUCGGACGCGCAAUGAAAGUGAUAGUUGGGAACCUUUCACGAGGGGCACCGACGCCCGGACCAGACCUUCUGUGACGGAUCCGAGGUAGAGCAUAUAUGUUGGGACCCGAAAGAUGGUGAACUAUGCCUGCAUAGGGUGAAGCCAGAGGAAACUCUGGUGGAGGCUCGUAGCGAUUCUGACGUGCAAAUCGAUCGUCAAAUGUGGGUAUAGGGGCGAAAGACUAAUCGAACCAUCUAGUAGCUGGUUCCUGCC
rnacentral:rRNA from 1 species